UCCAUUGUGUGUGUCUUGGAGGCAGACAUCAUCAGCAAAAAUAUACAUAUGGUGUGGAGGUUAUUUCUGAACACUGCUGUAUUUAACAGCAAAUGAAUGACACUGGACAUCUACUUCAAAUGUCUGGAGUACCAAAUCUUUCUGAGACUUCACAACAAGGUAAUACUUCCUUCUAUUUUCACGCUGAGAAAUUUCUUUGGUCACUCCUAGAACAAGGAACCUGUAUUGUUACAAGAAACCAUUGAGCUCCUUCCCAGAAAAAGAUGACUGGCACCCUCAAAGCCAGAGCUCCAGAUGUCUGCAAUGCCUCAGCAGAGGGCCACAGAAGAAGCCUAGAUGGAUAGCUGAGAUUGGAUAUUUAAGAUCCAUAAACCAAAUCCCUAAG